rnacentral:rRNA from 1 species
UAGGGAAUCUUCCACAAUGGACGAAAGUCUGAUGGAGCAACGCCGCGUGAGUGAAGAAGGGUUUCGGCUCGUAAAACACUGUUGUAAGAGAAGAAUGACAUUGAGAGUAACUGUUCAAUGUGUGACGGUAUCUUACCAGAAAGGAACGGCUAAAUACGUACCAG